AGUAUAGCAUUAUACCGUGAAACUGCGAAUGGCUCAUUAAAUCAGUUAUCGUUUAUUUGAUAGUACCUUACUACUUGGAUAACCGUGGUAAUUCUAGAGCUAAUACAUGCUGAAAACCCCAACUUCGGGAGGGGUGUAUUUAUUAGAUAAAAAACCAACGCCCUUCGGGGCUUCUUGGUGAUUCAUGAUAACUUCACGGAUCGCAUGGCCUUGCGCCGGCGACGGUUCAUUCAAAUUUCUGCCCUAUCAACUUUCGAUGGUAAGGUAUUGGCUUACCAUGGUUUCAACGGGUAACGGGGAAUUAGGGUUCGAUUCCGGAGAGGGAGCCUGAGAAACGGCUACCACAUCCAAGGAAGGCAGCAGGCGCGCAAAUUACCCAAUCCCGACACGGGGAGGUAGUGACAAUAAAUACUGAUACAGGGCUCUUUUGGGUCUUGUAAUUGGAAUGAGUACAAUUUAAACCUCUUAACGAGGAACAAUUGGAGGGCAAGUCUGGUGCCAGCAGCCGCGGUAAUUCCAGCUCCAAUAGCGUAUAUUAAAGUUGUUGCAGUUAAAAAGCUCGUAGUUGAAACUUGGGCCUGGCUGGCAGGUCCGCCUCACCGCGUGUACUUGUCCGGCCGGGCCUUUCCUUCUGGAGAACCUCAUGCCCUUCACUGGGUGUGUUGGGGAACCAGGACUUUUACUUUGAAAAAAUUAGAGUGUUCAAAGCAGGCCUUUGCUCGAAUACGUUAGCAUGGAAUAAUAGAAUAGGACGUGCGGUCCUAUUUUGUUGGUUUCUAGGACCGCCGUAAUGAUUAAUAGGGACAGUCGGGGGCAUCAGUAUUCAAUUGUCAGAGGUGAAAUUCUUGGAUUUAUUGAAGACUAACUACUGCGAAAGCAUUUGCCAAGGAUGUUUUCAUUAAUCAGUGAACGAAAGUUAGGGGAUCGAAGACGAUCAGAUACCGUCGUAGUCUUAACCGUAAACUAUGCCGACUAGGGAUCGGGCG
rnacentral:rRNA from 1 species